rnacentral:rRNA from 1 species
AUACGGAGGGUGCAAGCGUUAAUCGGAAUUACUGGGCGUAAAGCGCGCGUAGGCGGCUUGAUAAGUCGGAUGUGAAAUCCCCGGGCUCAACCUGGGAAUUGCAUUCGAUACUGUCAGGCUAGAGUGUGGUAGAGGGAAGUGGAAUUUCCGGUGUAGCGGUGAAAUGCGUAGAUAUCGGAAAGAACACCAGUGGCGAAGGCGGCUUCCUGGACCAACACUGACGCUGAGGUGCGAAAGCGUGGGGAGCAAACAGGAUUAGAUACCCUAGUAGUCC